UAUAUCAGCCAUAUUACCCUGCAGCCCAAGACCGGUUACUUACUGAAGCUAAGCAGGUUUAAGCCUGGUAAGUACCUGGAUGGGAGAACACCUGGUUGCUGUUGGAA
rnacentral:rRNA from 1 species